GGUCAGAUUGAACGCUGGCGGCAGGCCUAACACAUGCAAGUCGAACGGUGUAACAGGAAGCAGCUUGCUUCUUUGCUGACGAGUGGCGGACGGGUGAGUAAUGUCUGGGAAACUGCCCUGAUGAGGGGAUAACCACUGAAACGGUAGCUAACCGCAACGUCGCAAGACCAGUGGGACCUUCGGGCCUCUUGCCAUCCGAUGUGCCCAGAUGGGAUUAGUAGGUGGGUGGGCUCACCUAGGCGACGAUCCCCAGCUGGUCCGAGGACGACCAGCCACACUGGUCAGACACGGUCCGACUCCUCGGAGCAGCAGGAAGACAGGCCUUCGUAGCCUGAUGCAGCCACGCCGCGGUGGAAGAAGGCCUUCGGGCCAAAAAGUACUUCAGCGAGGGAGGAGUAAAGUAAUACCCGCUCUGACACGUUACCCGUGAAGAAGCACCGGCUAACUCCGCCAGCAGCCGCGGUAAUACGGAGGUGCAAGCGUUAAUCGGACCACUUGCUGGGCGUAAGCGUACGCAGGCGGUUUGUUAAGUCAGAUGAAUCGGGCUCAACCUGGGAACUGCAUCUGAUACUGGCAAGCUUGAGUCUCGUAGAGGUAGAACAGUGGUAGCGGUGAAAUGCGUAGAGAUCUGAGGAAUACCGGUGGCGAAGGCGGCCCCGGACGACAUCGCUCAGGUGCGAAAGCGGGCAACAGGAUUAGAUACCCUGGUAGCACGCCGUAAACGAUGUCGACUUGAGGUUGUGCCCGAGGCGUGGCUUCCGGAGCCGCGUUAAGUCGACCGCCGGGAGUGGCCGCAAGUUAAAACUCAAAUGAAUUGACGGGGCCCGCAAGCGGUGGAGCUGUGGUUUAACUCGAUGCAAGAAGAACCUACCUGGUCUUGACAUCCACGGAAGUUUUCAGAGAUGAGAAUGUGCCUUCGGAACCGUGAGACAGUGCAGGUGCUGUCGUCAGCUCGUGCUGUGAAAUGUGCGGGAAGUCCCGCAACGAGCGCAACCCUUAUCUUCCUUGGCGCAGCGGUCCGCGGAACUCAAAGGAGACUGCCAGUGAUAAACUGGAGGAAGGUGGGGAUGACGUCAAGUCAUCAUGGCCCUUACGACCAGGCUACGUGCUACAAUGGCGCAUAAAGAAGCGACCUCGCGAGAGCAAGCGGACCCUACAGUGCGUCGUAGUCCGGAUUGAGUCUGCAACUCUGACUCCAGAAGUCGGAAUCGCUAAUCGUGGAUCAGAAUGCCACGGUGAAUACGUUCCCGGGCCUCGUCACACCGCCCGCCCGUCACGCGCGGGGAGUGGGUUGCAAAAGAAGUAGGUAGCAACCUUCGGGAGGGCGCUUACCACUUUGUGAUUCAUGACUGGGUGAAGUCGUAACAAGGUAACCGUAGGGGAACCUGCGGUUG
rnacentral:rRNA from 1 species